AUUGAACGCUGGCGGCAGGCCUAACACAUGCGAGUCGAGCGGAUGAAGGGAGCUUGCUCCUGGAUUCAGCGGCGGACGGGUGAGUAAUGCCUAGGAAUCUGCCUGGUAGUGGGGGAUAACGUCCGGAAACGGGCGCUAAUACCGCAUACGUCCUGAGGGAGAAAGUGGGGGAUCUUCGGACCUCACGCUAUCAGAUGAGCCUAGGUCGGAUUAGCUAGUUGGUGGGGUAAAGGCCUACCAAGGCGACGAUCCGUAACUGGUCUGAGAGGAUGAUCAGUCACACUGGAACUGAGACACGGUCCAGACUCCUACGGGAGGCAGCAGUGGGGAAUAUUGGACAAUGGGCGAAAGCCUGAUCCAGCCAUGCCGCGUGUGUGAAGAAGGUCUUCGGAUUGUAAAGCACUUUAAGUGGGGAGGAAAGGCAGUAAGUUAAUACCUUGCUGUUUUGACGUUACCAACAGAAUAAGCACCGGCUAACUUCGUG
rnacentral:rRNA from 1 species